GACGAACGCUGGCGGCGUGCUUAACACAUGCAAGUCGAACGUGAUUUUUGUGGAAAGCCCUUCGGGGACGGAAAUGAAAUGAAAGUGGCGAACGGGUGAGUAACACGUGAGCAACCUACCUUACACAGGGGGAUAGCCGUUGGAAACGACGAUUAAUACCGCAUGAGACCACAAAGCCACAUGGCUUAGGGGUAAAAGAUUUAUCGGUGUAAGAUGGGCUCGCGUCUGAUUAGCUAGUUGGAAGGGUAAAGGCCUACCAAGGCAACGAUCAGUAGCCGGUCUGAGAGGAUGAACGGCCACAUUGGAACUGAGACACGGUCCAAACUCCUACGGGAGGCAGCAGUGGGGAAUAUUGCACAAUGGGGGGAACCCUGAUGCAGCGACGCCGCGUGAGCGAAGAAGGUUUUCGAAUCGUAAAGCUCUGUCCUAUGAGAAGAUAAUGACGGUAUCAUAGGAGGAAGCCCCGGCUAAAUACGUGCCAGCAGCCGCGGUAAUACGUAUGUCACGAGCGUUAUCCGGAUUUAUUGGGCGUAAAGCGCGUCUAGGUGGUUAUGUAAGUCUGAUGUGAAAAUGCAGGGCUCAACUCUGUAUUGCGUUGGAAACUGUAUAACUAGAGUACUGGAGAGGUAAGCGGAACUACAAGUGUAGAGGUGAAAUUCGUAGAUAUUUGUAGGAAUGCCGAUGGGGAAGCCAGCUUACUGGACAGAUACUGACGCUAAAGCGCGAAAGCGUGGGUAGCAAACAGG
rnacentral:rRNA from 1 species